rnacentral:lncRNA from 1 species
GAAUAGUAACGUUAAAAGACAUUAAAGGAGACACGGUUAUGGUUCUUUACUAAAACUAGAAGCAAUUCCACCGCUCGCUUCGUUUAUCUUUUCAUUUUUCCUUUCUUUUUCGUCUCAAAUCAAAUUUUGUUGGGUGAAUUUAAGGGAAAAAACAUUUGGUCAAAAUUCUUAUAUAAUGAAAGUGUUUAAUAUAAAUUGUUUUCCAUAAUUAGAAGAUAAAGACUGCCAAACAAACUUUAAG